rnacentral:misc_RNA from 1 species
GAUGAAGAACGCAGCGAAAUGCGAUAAGUAAUGUGAAUUGCAGAAUUCAGUGAAUCAUCGAAUCUUUGAACGCACAUUGCGCCCGCCAGUAUUCUGGCGGGCAUGCCUGUUCGAGCGUCAUUACAACCCUCAGGCCCCCGGGCCUGGCGUUGGGGAUCGGCGGAAGCCCCCUGCGGGCACAACGCCGUCCCCCAAAUACAGUGGCGGUCCCGCCGCAGCUUCCAUUGCGUAGUAGCUAACACCUCGCAACUGGAGAGCGGCGCGGCCACGCCGUAAAACACCCAACUUCUGAAUGUUGACCUCGCAUCAGGUAGGAAUACCCGCUGAACUUAAGCAUAUCAAUAAGCGGAGGA